rnacentral:lncRNA from 1 species
UUAACCCAAAAUCAGUGACUUUCAAGUUGCCAUCCUCGUCCAGGAGGAGGUUCUCCGGCUUCAGAUCCCGGUGGUAGACGCCGCGGCUGUGGCAGAAAUCGAUGGCUGAGAUCAGCUGCUGGAAAUAGACUCUGGCCACGUCUUCUUUAAGCCGGCCUUUGGCGAUUUUGGCAAAGAGCUCGCCGCCGCGGACCAGAUCCAUGGCGAAAUAGAUCUUGGACUUGCUGGCCAUGACCUCAUGGAGCUCGACGAUGUUGGGGUGCUUGACCAUCCUCAUCACGGAGAUCUCUCUCUUGAUCUGCUCCAUCAUCCCAACUUUGAUUACCUUCUCUUUGCCCACCACUUUCAUGGCCACACUUUUCCCGCUCUUCAAAUUCCU